rnacentral:rRNA from 1 species
GAACGCGAAGGCCUAUUAACUAGUAUAGUUUAGUUGAUAGUACCUUAUCACNUGGAUAUCGUGGUAAUCUAGAGCUAUCAUGCACAAAACCCCGACGCCUUUAUGGUGAAGGGCUGUAUUUAUUAGAUUAAAAACCANUCCGGGCAACCGGUUCUUUGGUGAUUCAUAGUAAAAAAUCGAAUCGCAAGGCUUUAGCUAGCGAUGGUCAUUCAAAUAUCUGCCCUAUCAACUUUCGAUGGUNCGGUCUAGGCCUACCAUGGUUUUGACGGGUAACGGGGAAUUAGGGUUCGAUUCCGGAGAGGGAGCCUGAGAAAUGGCUNCCACAUCCAAGGAAGGCAGCAGGCGCGCAAAUUACCCAAUCUCAAUUCGAGGAGGUAGUGACAAGAAUAACAAUCCAGGGCUUUCUGAGUCUUGGAAUUGGAAUGAGAACAAUCUAAACCCCUUCACGAGGAACAAUUGGAGGCAAGUCUGGUGCCAGCAGCCGCGGUAAUUNCAGCUCCAAUAGCGUAUAUUAAAGUUGUUGCAGUUAAAAAGCUCGUAGUCGAAUUUUGGAUCUGGCUGAGAGGUCCGCCCUUGUGGUGAGUACUUUUCUGGCUGGGUCUUUCUUUCUGGUGAAGCAUUGUGCUCUUUAUUGGGUGCGGUGUGGAGCCGGGACCUUUACUUUGAAAAAAUUAGAGUGUUCAUAGCAAGCGUAUUGCUCGGAUAGAUUAGCAUGAAUAAUAGAAUAGGACUUUGGUUCUAUUUUGUUGGUUUUUAGGCAGAGAAUAUAAUUGGNAUAGUUGGGGGNAUUCGUANUUAAUUGUCAGAGGUAAAUUCUUGAUUUAUGAAAGCNGACUUCUGCGAAAGCAUUUGCCAAGNAUGUUUUCAUUGAUCAAGANCGAAGUUAGGGGAUCGAAGACNAUCAGAUACCGUCGUAGUCUUAACUAUAAACAUGCCAGCUCCGGAUCAGUCAG